UCCGAGUGCACCUAAUUAACAGUUGAUAACCUGAUUCAAAUAACGCACCUAAUUCACAGUCAGAGUGCAUACUAAUAAUCACAAUCAAUAAGCCCAAGUAGCCUAUCAGUUCUAAGCAUCAAAAAGCGCCAAAUAGUUACCUAACACAAAAAAGAGUUAACACAAGUAAACCACAAGGAAAAGUUUAAAUCUAAUGCGGUACGUAAUUAGCAAAGGAAACCAGAUACUUCACCAACUCUAGCGGGACGGAUUUCAGCAGCUCUACGUGCCUGGAACGAAUUAUACACUUACUGUAUACACAAACUUGUGUCCUCAUGUCAGCAUUUCUUCCUGUAUUGCCAGAAUAGAUGUUGUUGCCAUUACCACCCGUUUGUACAGGUUUCCAACCUCCCUUUUGACCAAUCUUCAUCCAACGGAACAGAUGGACCAUAUCCUGGAGGAAGGUGAUGGCCUUUUGAUACUUCUCCAUCUUGAGCCUGCUCAGUGCUGUUAUCGGAUGGCGAGAGGACAUGAGAUCAAACCAAUGAUCAACUUGCUCCAGGAGCCACGCUGUAGUCAGGUGCAGGGGUGAAUCUUGGUGCAGGGGCCUUCCUCUUUUUGACCUCAGGGCGAUGCACAAAGAUCAUAGGAAUAGCAUCUGCUCUCAGCCUAGCCUUACCCUUUUUGGUCUUGGCACACUGAUCUGCCACAAAAUGUGCCUGCAGAGUGACUUUCAGCAGGGAAACCAUACAUCUAUAGUCCUUUCUCCGAAUGGUUGGAUCAUCCCCAUGCAGCACAACCAACCAUCAUGGAAUUCAAGAGACUGGGUUCAAGGACAACAGGGAGGAAAGAGCACAGACAAUGGAAUUGACACACUAUUUAUGUUUCUGAGUUUAUUAGAGCCUCAAUGGGGUAAAUAAGUACAUAGUUUAUUUAGUUACAGAUUGAGAACAAGCACUGAGUUAGUCAAUGUGCAUGCCUAAAAACAAUUAUUGACUUAUGUGGCGUAAGGCCAUGUCAUGUAGUGUGCAUUGCAUCAUUACAAUCAGAGAUGGAACAUGUACAUGUAUGUGUACUGUCCUCCCAUUUGCUAUUAAUUUGUAAUUUGGUUCAUAUCAUUAGGGACUCACUGUCAUACAUGUAUGGAUAGGGGAGACUCUCGUCUGACCACGGUCCGCUGUGUUUCAACUGAACAGAGUGCCUUGGACAUUCUUUCAAGUUUCCACUGAAAUAAACUAAAAUUGAGUACCCUACAGUAGUGUGUACUGCAAACACUGAUGAACUACUAAACAAUUAACUACUCUGUGAUUCAAUAGACUCUUUUUCUGCUCAGUUCUCAACAGACACAUAUACUGUACAUACUAUAUA